rnacentral:rRNA from 1 species
GAUGAACGCUGGCGGCGUGCUUAACACAUGCAAGUCGAACGGAAAGGCCCAAGCUUGCUUGGGUACUCGAGUGGCGAACGGGUGAGUAACACGUGGGUGAUCUGCCCUGCACUUCGGGAUAAGCCUGGGAAACUGGGUCUAAUACCGGAUAGGACGAUGGUUUGGAUGCCAUUGUGGAAAGUUUUUUCGGUGUGGGAUGAGCUCGCGGCCUAUCAGCUUGUUGGUGGGGUAAUGGCCUACCAAGGCGUCGACGGGUAGCCGGCCUGAGAGGGUGUACGGCCACAUUGGGACUGAGAUACGGCCCAGACUCCUACGGGAGGCAGCAGUGGGGAAUAUUGCACAAUGGGCGCAAGCCUGAUGCAGCGACGCCGCGUGGGGGAUGACGGCCUUCGGGUUGUAAACUCCUUUCGCGAGGGACGAAGCGUUUUUGUGACGGUACCUGGAGAAGAAGCACCGGCUAACUACGUG